rnacentral:rRNA from 1 species
UGAAACCGUUUAGGGGUAAACCUGAGAAACCCGAAAGGUCGAAGGGAGAAAUUCAUUCGCGUUUCGUAGUCGGCUGCGCUAGGUUCUUUGACGGAAUACGUUCGCGUGUUCCGCUGGUUCACUGGCGCUGACCCGGCGACGAACGCGUGCACUUUUCUCCUGGUAGGACGUCGCGAUCCGUUGGGUGUCGGUCUACGGCUUCGGGUGGAGCCCGCCGGUUACUAGUUAACCGACGGACCCCGGACGCCCGGCCGACUCGCUCGACGGUAUAAGAAAGGUUAGAGGCCGCUCUCGGAGCGUUCGGCUCGUGGCAAGCGCGUUAGUCGUGUCGGCGAUCGGACCUAGUGCCGAUUCUGACCGCUGGCGACUGUUGGCCGCGAAGUUCUCGAACAGACCUCGUGACCGAUCGGCGACGCUAUAGCUUUGGGUACUUUCAGGACCCGUCUUGAAACACGGACCAAGGAGUCUAGCAUGUGCGCGAGUCAUUGGGAAUCAUUAAACCUAAAGGCGCAAUGAAAGUAAAGGUCUUCCUCGCGAAGACCGAGGGAAGACGGGCGGACCGGCCUUAAAACCGGCCGUUCAGCAUUCCCGGGGCGUCUCGUUCUCAUCGCGAGAAGAGGCGCACCAAGAGCGUACACGCUGGGACCCGAAAGAUGGUGAACUAUGCCUGGUCAGGACGAA